GUUACAGGUCUUGAUGCUCGUAUUAAAGUAAAACAAGUUGGCAAUUUAUUCGAAUUUUCUUCGUAGUCUUCAGAAUACGUUUGUCUUGACGAGUUCGCGAUUGCAGAGGGUUUGCUUCAACUAUCAUCAUUGUUUCACUUGGAUAAGAGUUGCCAACGGUAUGGGGCAAACAUCAGAAUAUUUUGAAAAUAUACCUCGAGUACUAGAGCUGGGUUUGAAAGUAAACAACAAAACCAACAAGGAUCUGAAGGAAGAUGUUAUAAUUGUAAAAGAAUGGGUGUUAACACAACCACAUUUACCAGAAGUACCAGAUGACCAUAUGAUUACAAGUUUCCUGAUUAUGAAUAAGUUCAGCAUUGAGAAUGUUAAGCAGAAAAUAGAUAUGUACUACACCAUGAGAUCUUUAUAUCCAGAAUAUUUUGAAAACAAGCACCCUCUGGCUCCAUGCAUGCAAGAAAUCAUGGAUAA